CUUUGAACCCACAAUGUAUUGUAGACCAAUUUGCGAAAUAUUACAGUGAAUUGUAUAACCUUAAAACUGACCCCAACAUGUUCUUACCUACACAUGACGACAUUGACGGGUUCUUGACGGGACUUGACCUACCAAAAUUAACAAACGAUGACCUAGACCUGCUACAACAACCAUUCUCCAUAGACGAGAUCACGGCUGUAAUAUCGAAACUACCAGCCCACAAAUCCCCUGGCCCCGAUGGCUUUACUAACGCAUACUACCAGAAAUUCUCACACAUCCUCACGCCACAGUUACUAAACCUCCUCAAUACCUGCG